GUCACUACAAAAAAUGAAGAACCUUGUGUCAGGGGAAAAAACACAAAAAAGAAAGAACACCUGUAUCAUUCUAGACACGCUUUAAAUAUGUUAAAAACCCGCAUCAAACACAAUGCAGCUCUUCAAAUUGCCAUCAGCACAUCAACUUUCAUGGUGUCAUGCCUCAUGUACAUAUCAUUAUCAAUAACCAUGCUUCUUAGGAAUUUACCAAGCAAUAUACGUAGUUUGAUAGCUCUAGCAACCAAGUAAUAUCAUUAGAAAAGUUAAAUGCCUCGUGAAUGCACUCACAAGUUAUAAUCAUUAAACUAAAAUAUUCAUUCUGAUCUGACUUGAAAACUUUGCCCAAGAAUAGACAAUAGUAACCAAAUACAUUGUUUGAAAUUUUAUGAUUACUAUCAUUUGACAGUUGAUACAAUCGGGAUGUAAUAAAGAUAUUUUAGAACUUCUAUGAGCACAAGAAUCAAAUAGAAACUAACUUAACUUUACUGUGACUAUAAAUAGACAAAACAGUGAAGAAGAAACAUGAGAAGAAAGGAAAAGAAGAAAAAUUGCCUCUGAUAGGAAGAUAUCUGUGCCUACCAGGAAAAGGAGAAAAAAAAAGGAGGAAAGGAAAAGAAGAAACAAACUUGUAUCUGAAUGCCAGGACUCCAUUAAUUCCCAUUUCGGAAGAUGUUAAUUAUGUAUAGAUGAGCAAAGUUACGCAUUGAUUGAAUGAUAUUUCUUUUCAAACUAUGUUGCAAUCUUUAUACUUAGAUCUGAAUGUGACACUGCUUUUCUAAUGGCAAUAACUCCGCAAAUCAAAUAAAGUGGUCGUGAAGGCCAGGCAGAGGGAGACUGGCAAGGGAAAAGGAAGUUGGCAUCUAUUUUGGAAGACUCGUAUGAAAUAAAUAGAAAAAUUGACAUUCAAAAGAGAAAUGUGUUUUCGUGACAAAUG